ACCAGCACCUCAAGUGGUCAGGAGGAUUAUUGGGCCUAAAGCAUCCGUAGCCGGCUCUGUAAGUUUUCGGUUAAAUCCAUGUGCUCAACACAUGGGCUGCCGAAAAUACUGCAUAGCUAGGGAGUGGGAGAGGUAGACGGUACUCGGUAGGAAGGGGUAAAAUCCUUUGAUCUAUCGAUGACCAUCUGUGGCGAAGGCGGUCUACCAGAACACGUUCGACGGUGAGGGAUGAAAGCUGGGGGAGCAAACCGG
rnacentral:rRNA from 1 species